rnacentral:rRNA from 1 species
AAUGAACGCUGGCGGCAUGCCUAACACAUGCAAGUCGAACGAAGGCUUCGGCCUUAGUGGCGCACGGGUGCGUAACGCGUGGGAAUCUGCCCUCAGGUUCGGAACAACAGCGAGAAAUUGCUGCUAAUACCGGAUGAUAUCGCGAGAUCAAAGAUUUAUCGCCUGAGGAUGAGCCCGCGUAGGAUUAGCUAGUUGGUGUGGUAAAGGCGCACCAAGGCGACGAUCCUUAGCUGGUCUGAGAGGAUGAUCAGCCACACUGGGACUGAGACACGGCCCAGACUCCUACGGGAGGCAGCAGUGGGGAAUAUUGGACGAUGGGCGAAAGCCUGAUCCAGCAAUGCCGCGUGAGUGAUGAAGGCCUUAGGGUUGUAAAGCUCUUUUACCCGGGAUGAUAAUGACAGUACCGGGAGAAUAAGCUCCGGCUAACUCCGUGCCAGCAGCCGCGGUAA